GGGACUUGGGGCACAGUGGUUCAACGGAAUGGGUUACGGUGACAUGUGAAAUUAUUACUGCUCAACAUCAAUUAAUCCUUAUAAUAUGGAAUAAGAUAAAUGAACUACCUUGUGAAAGAUAUAAACAGAUGCAAGACUUUGGGAAAGGGACGGAGCGAAAAGAGAGUGAUACGGAGGUUUGUUGGUGUUAUUUGUUAUGUUCGCGAUUUUCGCAUUCGUAUUUAUCGGCUACUUCGUGGGAAGAAGAAGCAAUUGAAACGGACGUUGCGUUUCAAAAAGAGCGUUACAAUAUGAAGAAUUCAAUCGACGAGAUCGGUGAAAAACGCAUUGAUAAAACCAAGGCCCAAAAUACAAGGCUGCACACACAGUUGCGGUGAAAAUAUUAGUAUUUAAGAUCCCAGUAUCCCUGAAUGGGCAAAUUCCAAAUUUAAUGAGUUAUAUCUAUCUUACAGUUUUAUUAAAUAAAUGAUUUUAAAAAUACA